CACAAAUACAGACAGACGAGGAGGCGACGAGACCACAGAGGCAGAUUGGAAUGAUGUGGCCAUGAACCAAGGGCUGCUGGUGGCCGCCAGGAGCUGGGAGAGACAAUCACGGUGCUGCCCCAACCAGACACACCUGGACAGGAUUCUGCUUGAAAGCCCCCAGCUUGUGGCCCGGGCUGCAGACGGGCUGACCCCAACAGGGCCCUCUGCGUGCUUCCACCUGUCACAGUGCCAUUCUGUGCAAAUCCUGGUUCCAGGAAGAGAGGGUCCUCCUGUGUGACACAGAACCCGGACGGGCCCAGCGGCAGCCCAGGAUUUCCGUCAGGAGCAUGUGCAGAGCUGGUCCUGCACAGAUGACUAGGGUGACAGCUUGCUUGGUGGAGUAGGCCUUCUGCAGAAGCUGUUUCCUUAGGAGCCUCAGCCUCUCUGAGAGAAGAGAAGGCCAGGCUGGACCACAGAGCCCAGGGGAGGCUGCUGAGGGACCGGAAGCAAUACCCAGGGUCCAGUGAGGCCAAUGCUGGGGGUCAAGUGAGGCUGAGGGCCAAGGUGGGGCCCGGAGUCCAGUGAGAUGGAGGAUCAGCCACCAGUGAGAGGAGGCGUCGUUUGCCCGCUGCUGAGUGUGGUGAAAGCCUGGCAGACGGGGGCCUCCGAUGGCCAAGUCACCCCUCACCACCUGCUGCUCCAAGAGCCCGGGGUCUUCAUCUGUCCAGGGUCACCCCGGCCCUGCAAUUCUCAGGGCUUUCUUUUGUCCAGCGAGGAUACAGGAGAGUAGGGCCUUGGUCUCUCAGACCAGGCUUGGGCCAUCCCUGGAGCCUUGGCCCUACUCUCACUCAGCUGUGUACCUCAUCAUCUCACAGAUUAGAGCCAGGAAAAGGAAACCAGUGAGAC
rnacentral:lncRNA from 1 species